rnacentral:rRNA from 1 species
UACGUAGGAGGCAAGCGUUGUCCGGAAUUACUGGGCGUAAAGCGCGCGCAGGCGGUCCUUCAAGUCAGAGGUGAAAGCCCAGAGCUCAACUCUGGAAUGGCCUUUGAGACUAGAGGACUUGGGUACGGGAGAGGUGAGUGGAAUUCCGAGUGUAGAGGUGAAAUUCGUAGAUAUUCGGAAGAACACCAGUGGCGAAGGCGGCUCACUGGCCCGUUACCGACGCUCAGGCGCGACAGCGUGGGGAGCAACAGG